rnacentral:lncRNA from 10 species
UUUCUGUCGUGUGUGUGAGGAGCUCUGUUUAACUGACUUGAGGACUGAAGUACUGAACAAGCAAAGAAUUGCUCAACUCCCUAGACAGAGUCUCACUCUGGACAGGCUGGAGUGCAGUGGCAAGAUCUCGGCUUAUGGCAACCUCUGCCUUUCAGGUUCAAAUGACUUUCAUGCUUCAGCCUCCCAAGUAGCUGGGAUUACAGGUGUGUGCCACUA